rnacentral:rRNA from 1 species
UACGUAGGGUGCAAGCGUUGUCCGGAAUUAUUGGGCGUAAAGAGCUCGUAGGCGGUUUGUCGCGUCGGCUGUGAAAACCCGGAGCUCAACUCCGGGCCUGCAGUCGAUACGGGCAGACUUGAGUGUUGCAGGGGAGACUGGAAUUCCUGGUGUAGCGGUGAAAUGCGCAGAUAUCAGGAGGAACACCGGUGGCGAAGGCGGGUCUCUGGGCAACAACUGACGCUGAGGAGCGAAAGCGUGGGGAGCAAACAGG